GUAGAGGAUGCUUUUGGUGAGGUGCCNCCNGAGUUCCCUGGAACGGGACGCCACAGAGGGUGAGAGCCCCGUCUGGCUGGCCACCGAGCCUCUGUAAAGCUCCUUCGACGAGUCGAGUAGUUUGGGAAUGCUGCUCAAAAUGGGAGGUAUAUGUCUUCUAAAGCUAAAUAUUGGCCAGAGACCGAUAGCGCACAAGUAGAGUGAUCGAAAGAUGAAAAGCACCUUGAAAAGAGGGUUAAACAGUACGUGAAAUUGUUGAAAGGGAAGCGCUUGUGACCAGACUUGGGCGCGGCGAAUCAUCCGGGGUUCUCUCCGGUGCACUUCGCCGUGUUCAGGCCAGCAUCAGUUCGGCGCGGGGGAGGGANGCUUCGGGAACGUGGCUGCUCCGGCAGUGUUAUAGCCCGUUGCAUAAUACCCUGCGCUGGAC
rnacentral:rRNA from 1 species